UAAGGUCAUCCAUCGUUUUUAAAUUCGUCACAGCAGACAUUGCUGCUGAUAUUCCCACCGAAUAAUGAUUUCCUUCAAGAGCUGAUCAGACUGGAUCUUCUUCUAGAGAAUCCAGAACUAGAUGAAGGAUUUACUGGCCUAAACCACCAGAUUCGAGGCACAAAUACCCAGAGAAGUGAUCAUGCUUUGGACAUUCUAGCAGAUCUAGGUAUAGAGUAAGACAUGUAUCCAUCCAUCCAUCCAUUUUCUACCGCUUGUCCCUUUCGGGGUUGCGGGGGGUGCUGGAGCCCAUCUCAGCU